GUUCCAGUGACGGCACCACGGAAGGAGGCGGCUCCGCUGAGGCGGAGUAGCACGAACGUACGAGGCGACGUACAGAAAUCGAGUCAGGCGAAUCUGGCUGGGACCAGUCCGCAACGCAGAAUUAAGUCCUCUAUCCAUCUCAGGGCCAGGGGCGUAUACUCGGCGCUAACGUACGGAAAGCAUCGUGU
rfam:Desulfobacterales bacterium C00003060 5datasets_contig_16344, whole genome shotgun sequence.